rnacentral:rRNA from 1 species
GAUGAACGCUGGCGGCGUGCCUAAUACAUGCAAGUCGAGCGAACAGACUACGAGCUUGCUCCUCUGACGUUAGCGGCGGACGGGUGAGUAACACGUGGAUAACCUACCUAUAAGACUGGGAUCACUUCGGGAAACCGGAGCUAAUACCGGAUAAUAUAUUGAACCGCAUGGUUCAAUAGUUAAAGACGGUUUUGCUGUCACUUAUAGAUGGAUCCGCGCCGCAUUAGCUAGUUGGUAAGGUAACGGCUUACCAAGGCACCGAUGCGUAGCCGACCUGAGAGGGUGAUCGGCCACACUGGAACUGAGACACGGUCCAGACUCCUACGGGAGGCAGCAGUAGGGAAUCUUCCGCAAAGGGCGAAAGCCUGACGGAGCAACGCCGCGUGAGUGAUGAAGGUCUUCGGAUCGUAAAACUCUGUUAUUAGGGAAGAACAAAUGUGUAAGUAACUAUGCACGUCUUGACGGUACCUAAUCAGAAAGCCACGGCUAACUACGUG